CUUUUAUAUCCAGCGCCCUGAGCGGUCGCUCCACUCGCCCUACCCUAACGCCAGCACUGAGCAAAAAGGAUGGCGGAAAUAGACUCAGACUCCAAAUCCCUGCUCCAGCUGCUUAAGCAGUACAAAUCCUGCUGCGCCAUUUCUCAAUAAAUCAUAUUUUCUCUUGGAUGUAGGCUGUUAUGAAGAAAUUACUUUCCUUAUUAGAUAAUAUCCAACC